UACGAAGGGGGCUAGCGUUGCUCGGAAUCACUGGGCGUAAAGCGCACGUAGGCGGAUCUUUAAGUCAGGGGUGAAAUCCUGGAGCUCAACUCCAGAACUGCCUUUGAUACUGGGGAUCUCGAGUCCGGGAGAGGUGAGUGGAACUGCGAGUGUAGAGGUGAAAUUCGUAGAUAUUCGCAAGAACACCCGUGGCGAAGGCGGUUCUCUGGGACGGUACUGACGCUGAGACGCGAAAGCGUGGGGAGCGAACAGG
rnacentral:rRNA from 1 species